GCCGCUCGCCUACUUUGGAUUUACGAAAGGGGUAGUAGGCGGCCGCCUACUUCUCUAGGCCACCGCCUACUUCUAGGCCACCGCCUUCUCUAGGCCACCGCCUACUUCUAGGCCACCGCCUUCUCUAGGCGGCCGCCUACUGCGUGAUCUGGCAGUUACGAAUUUUUUAGUUUAAAACCCAUCUCUAGGGUUUCACUUUAUAUUCUCGUCUCCAGCAGCCUCCAUAGGCGAUUUUCACCUCUUUCUUAAGGUUUUUAGAGUUUCACAACACUUACUUUCGAUCUUGGAUUCAUUGGAUUGCUUUGGAUGUCAAUUAACAUUUCAUCCGAUUGGAUUUCCUUGGAUUGCUACGUUAUGUAAGAACUCCCUUUGAUUCUCUUUGUUUAUGAAUCCCUUGGUUAUUUAAGUCUUUGUUUCUUGUCUUUAAUGAAUAUGAUGAUUGAAGAUUAUUGUUGUUGAUUCUAUAUUCUCUUGGUUUUAUGAAUCUUUUGGUUAAUUGAGUUUUGUGUUUUAUGUAUUUGAUGAAUGUGAAGAUUGAAGUUCAUUGUUGUUGAUUCUAGAUUCUCUUGGUUUUCUAAAUCCUUUGGUUUAUUGAAUCUUUAUUUUGUGUUUUGAUUAAUAUGAUGAUUGGAGAUAAUUGUUGUUGAGUUUAGAUAAUCUACGUGAUUCGUAGUUUGUUGCUAUUGUUUACCCUUUUCCUUUCUUGUUGAUGAAUAUUUAGAGAUUUCUUUUAUGGAGAUUAAGAUUUUCUUGCAUUCGAAUCUUAUGCUUGAUUGAGUUUCUUGCCUAGGUAGUUAUUAAUCUUUGAUGUUUACAAGUUUAUGAUCGUUUGGUUUAGUGUUGGAGUUGGAAACUCUAGUUGAUUUCGUUAAUGUUCAAAUGCCAUGUUCUAGUUAGUUCGUCGUUGAGUUGCUUGCGAAAUUCUCUUUGAUUGUGUGUGUUUGCUUAACAUUCAUUUGAUUAAAUGUUAAUAUGUUAUUUCGCCUAGAUAAUCGUUGUUUAUGGUGUUGAAUUGAUGAUUGCUUUCUAGAUUGCUAGUUUAGAACCUUAGCUUUGUUUGCCUUCUUGCGUUCUUAUUGGCUUCCUAUCUUUUGCCUAGUUAACUUUAUAUGCUUUAUUUUAAUUACGCAUUAGUUAAUCGGAGAGAAAGUGUCAGACCCAAUUUUCUGAUUAGAGUGUUUAGAUUUCUUUUAAGUUUCUUGUGAGCAAUACGAUUAGAGCCCUGCUAAGUCUUCCUUGUGAGACGACUUGAGUCACCUUACCACCCUAGGACGACCUCGUAUAAAUUCGAGUCCAUCCGUUAGGUGUUUUUGGAUGAGUCAAAUUUUGGCGCCGUUGCCGGGGAAGGCUUUAGGCAUUUGAUUGUGUUGCAUUGUUUUCCGUGUUUAUUUUUGUUUAUUUCUUUUGACUCGGUUAUUUUCUCCCUCCGGUGCGUUUGAUUUGUUUGUUUGUGUUGUGUAUGCAAGGACGUAGAAGCUUGAAGAGAAAGCUUGCACCUUACUACGACAACAUUCAUCGACCUC
rnacentral:lncRNA from 1 species